AAGUCGUAACAAGGUUUCCGUAGGUCAAGUUUUGCCUACUAGAACAGCGCUAUGCGCUGUUAGUCUCCCUGGGAGGCGACACGCUCAACAUGCGGAAAGGCCCAUAAAGGGAAAUCCGCAGCCCGUCCUCCUCACCCGGGGAUCGGUUCAGAGGCUCAAUGAGUGUGGGUUUGGCUUUUCAGCCAGGCUUGAGAUAGAGUCCGUCCCUGCUGGCAACUGCAGGGACUUGACGGAACCUGCGGAAGGAUCAUUAAAGAAUAUCAGGCUUUACAGCCCUAUUCUCACCCUGUGUAUUUCAAACUUCGUUGCUUUGGCAGGCCCCUGGCUUCGGCUGGACAGCGCCUGCCAGAGGAUCUAAACCCUUGAAUCUCUGCUGUCUGAGUACUAUACAAUAGUUAAAA
rnacentral:misc_RNA from 1 species